CUCUUUAGUCCAGUCAGUGUGUUGUUUGGCAAAUUGUAACCUCUUCAGCACAUGUGGUUUUUCCAACAAUGUUACUUUGCAGGGGCUUCUUGCCCAUGGCGUCUUCUAACUGUCACAGCACUUACAGG